AGCUCCAAUAGCGUAUAUUAAAGUUGUUGCCGUUAAAAAGCUCGUAGUCGAACUUCGGGUCCUGUCCGCCGGUCCGCCUUCUUGGUGUGUACUUGUUGGAUGGGACCUUACCUCCUGGUGAACGGCGAUGUCCUUUACUGGGUGUCGUCGCAAACCAGGACGUUUACUUUGAAAAAAUUAGAGUGUUCAAAGCAGGCCUUUGCCCGAAUACAUUAGCAUGGAAUAAUAGAAUAGGACGCGCGUUCCCAUUUUGUUGGUUUCUGAGAUCGCCGUAAUGAUUAAUAGGGAUAGUUGGGGGCAUUUGUAUUCCGACGUCAGAGGUGAAAUUCUUGGAUUGCCGGAAGACAAACUACUGCGAAAGCAUUUGCCAAGGAUGUUUUCA
rnacentral:rRNA from 2 species